rnacentral:lncRNA from 1 species
GACAGAGUAUCUUCUGUAAAUUCAACAUUUUCAAAUUUAUAGAAUCCCUGUUUAACUUUCAAUUCAAUCAUAAUUCAAAUAACAUAACCUAAUUUCUUAAUACACUUCCCAAAAAAAAUAGACUUUCUAGAUUCUAAAAUAGCUGCAAUUUACAUCAGACUCAACAGACGUUACAAAAAAUGGUUCUCGAUCAAAGAGGCCUACUAAAAAGAAAUAUGUUGAGACUUGAAUCUAAUAACAAAUUUCUACUCAACUGCCUGCGAAUCUGAAAAAAUAAACAACAUAAAGGGGUAAGUCACAAAGACUUAGUGAAGAGACAACAACCACCAUCAGUUAGAAGGGAAACAAAAAAAGACACGAAUAACUGCUUUACAAUCGGACGACAAUUAUGUUAAACAAUAUUACUUAAAAAUCUAGAAAAUUCUAAAUUUAAAUAUAUACACAUAUAUAGUCAUUAAACUUAUAAUUUAACCGUUUGAACAGAAAUAUAUAAAAAUCCAGUUAAUAACAAAGCUAAAUCAAAAUGAACAACCUUAAAAUCAUCAUAAAAAUCAAACAAGUAACAAUAAAAAAUUUUUAGAAACAAGAGGCAGCUUCAUCUCAUUGAUAGCCCUUUCCUUCUAAGGGUGACCUUUCCCUUAGGGGUGGCUCCAUCUAUAGCCCUCUCCUCUCAAUGCCGCAACGCAUCAUCACAUAUCAAUUAGGGAGCUUACAUCUCGUUGAUAGCCCUAUCCUCAUACGAAUGAUAUUUCUCAUAGAGCGGCUCCAUCUAACGAGUAACUCCCCCUAAUCAAAACGAAGUAACUAGGUGCACGUAACACAGUUAACGAUUUAAUAAUUAUAACAACGAUUUCUCAAAACACGUAUUUAAAAUCAUUUCAUCGUAAUUCAUGGAAAACAUAUUCAAUCGCAUAACAAUUCAAUAUUUAAAUACUUUAACUCAUACAUAGAGCAAACUAAUAACAUAUUAUAUAACAACGACCAUUAAAUUAAAUAAUUGACGAAAUCGAGAUGAAUUUCAAAGGUUGAGCUCCCCAAAUUUUUCAAUAAAUAUUUUAAUAUAGAAAACAAGUAAAAUAAUAAUAAUAGCAUUAUAAAAAAUAUAUGACGAUGAUCGCUGUCAACUCACAAAUAUGGAGAAUCGUCUAAGUUUUCUCUCCAACAACUCUCAGAGUAACCGACAGGGUCAGCUGACAAAUCUGAGUAUAAAAAAUAUUUCCAAGACUUUAGAAAAAAUUAUUCUAAAGUUUAGCUAACUCUAGGAAACCAUAAAAAUCAUUUAAAUAUAUUCUAAGCAAAAAAUAAGAUUUUUAAACAAAACUACAUUUUUUUAUGAAUUCAUACUAAGAUUAGAAUUGUGCAUUUACCUCCAUGAGUCUCAAUAAACAACUCUCAGGAGAUUGGUACCCUUUUCUCUAGAGCACAAACCCUAACUCAAAAUCUUAACCAAGAGAAUUUGUAGGAGUAUGAGAAAUUAUGCUUGUGAAGAUGUUAAAUUCAUUUUUAAGGGUUAAGGGUUUGAGUAUUAUAAAGAGAGAAGAAGUAAAUAAAAGAGAAAGAAAAAAAAAACAGCAACAAAAAUGGGUGGGGGGAG